CUGAUCUGAAUGUUUACAGACACAAAUGUGACACUGCUGUAAAUAAUCAAUUUCACAAAAUGGUAACGAUAGUGAGCCCCUGACCUUCAUAUCUUGCCAUUCUAUUCAUUGUAUAUAGAGUAUUCUGCUGCAGAAAAAGGCAUACAAACACAUCAGGCCCACAUGCAUCGGCGGAUGGCUGCAGAUUUCAUAAGGAGUCCACAUCAUGUUGAUUUACAAAACCUCAUUCAAGGCCAUUAGGAUAACUUUCCCCUCUGUGACAUCAGCUUUAAACCAAGAACAUGAGCCCUUGUCAGAGGUGUCCCGGGAACAGCAAGGAUCACAAAGACAAUGAGGUGGACAUCACAUGAUGAUGGGAGCGAUGUCACUGAGUCACAUGAUGAAGCGCAUCAUGCAUUCUCCCACUCUUGAGCGCCCGUGCUAAUAAUACACUCCAGCUGUCCUCCCGAAAGCCCCCAUGAGGAUGAAUGCUGCUAGACACAGCACGUCAAAUCAAAUAACUUUUGUGGUAGCGUCUGGUUACUGACAAAGGUGUGGCAGUGAAAA